rnacentral:rRNA from 1 species
CCUACGGGAGGCAGCAGUGGGGAAUAUUGCACAAUGGGGGAAACCCUGAUGCAGCGACGCCGCGUGAGUGAAGAAGUAUUUCGGUAUGUAAAGCUCUAUCAGCAGGGAAGAAAAUGACGGUACCUGAUUAAGAAGCACCGGCUAACUACGUGCCAGCAGCCGCGGUAAGACGUAGGGGGCAAGCGUUAUCCGGAUUUACUGGGUGUAAAGGGAGCGUAGACGGCAGCACAAGUCUGGAGUGAAAUGCCGGGGCUUAACCCCGGAACUGCUUUGGAAACUGUGCAGCUAGAGUGCAGGAGAGGUGAGUGGAACUCCUAGUGUAGCGGUGAAAUGCGUAGAUAUUAGGAGGAACACCAGUGGCGAAGGCGGCUUACUGGACUGUAACUGACGUUGAGGCUCGAAAGCGUGGGGAGCAAACAGGAUUAGAUACCCCAGUAGUC